GUGAAUCAUCGAAUUUUUGAACGCAAAUUGCACUCCCUGGUAUUCCGGGGAGUAUGUCUGUUUGAGGGUCGUUAGAAUAGAAAAUCGAGGCGUCGCUCUUUUUUUUAGGGGUGAUCGCGUCGGAAUUUAGCAGUCUUUCAAAUGUUAAUUAAUGGCAAAGUGGCUUAAAAUUCAUCCAUCCGGUACGACUAAAGCGUAUUUAAUAUUAAUUUUGAUUAAGAACGCUCGAGG
rnacentral:misc_RNA from 1 species